rnacentral:rRNA from 1 species
ACGGAAGGCAGCAGUGGGGAAUAUUGGGCAAUGGGCGCAAGCCUGACCCAGCAAUGCCGCGUGAAGGAAGAAGGCUUUCGGGUUGUAAACUUCUUUUAAGUGGGAGGACAAUGACGGUACCACUUGAACAAGCUCCGGCUAACUACGUGCCAGCAGCCGCGGUAAUACGUAGGGAGCAAGCGUUAUCCGGAUUUACUGGGUGUAAAGGGCGUGUAGGCGGGACACCAAGUCAGAUGUGAAAGCACGAGGCUCAACUUCGUGUCUGCAUUUGAAACUGACGUUCUUGAGUGUUGGAGAGGCUAACGGAACUCCUAGUGUAGCGGUGAAAUGCGUAGAUAUUAGGAAGAACACCAGUGGCGAAGGCGGUUAGCUGGACAAUAACUGACGCUGAGGCGCGAAAGCGUGGGUAGCAAACAGGAUUAGAUACCCUGGUA